rnacentral:RNase_P_RNA from 1 species
GAGGAAAGUCCGGACACCAUGGAAUCACGGGACCGGGUAAUUCCCGGAGUCCGGAAUCGAAAGAGACCGGAUAUGGAAAGUGCAACAGAAAGGAUACCGCCUCUUUUGAGGUAAGGGUGAAAUGGCGGGGUAAGAGCCCACCGCCGCUUUUGCAAGAAAGCGGGCAAGGUAAACCCUCCCGGGUGCAAUCUCGAAUAGGCGACCGUUUUUAGUCGAUUCCCCUAGGUCGCGGGUAGAGAGCAAGGAGUCCGCUCGGCAACAUGCGGGCCAAGAUAAAUGAUCAUCACUCGCAAGAGUACAAAAUCCGGCUUA